rnacentral:rRNA from 1 species
UACAGAGGUCCCAAGCGUUGUUCGGAUUCAUUGGGCGUAAAGGGUGUGUAGGUGGCGCCGUAAGUCGGGUGUGAAAUUUCGGAGCUUAACUCUGAAACUGCAUUCGAUACUGCGGUGCUUGAGGACUGGAGAGGAGACUGGAAUUCAUGGUGUAGCAGUGAAAUGCGUAGAGAUCAUGAGGAAGACCAGUGGCGAAGGCGGGUCUCUGGACAGUUCCUGACACUGAGACACGAAGGCCAGGGGAGCAAACAGG